rnacentral:ncRNA from 2 species
AACACCACUGACAGUUGAGGCGCCCAAUAGGGCCUAACAGGGAAUCCCGUUAAAAUCGGGAGCGGUCCCGCCGCUGUAAUCGGGGACCAAGCCUGCAUAUUGCCACUGUUCGCUAAAAGGCGGAUGGGAAGGCGCAGGUUUUGGGAUGAUCCGAGAGCCAGAAGACCUGCCUUAACCGUAUAAUCCGG